rnacentral:rRNA from 1 species
UGAGGAAUAUUGGUCAAUGGUCGAGAGACUGAACCAGCCAAGUCGCGUGAAGGAUGACUGCCCUAUGGGUUGUAAACUUCUUUUACAAGGGAAUAAAAUGAGAUACGUGUAUUUUAUUGCAUGUACCUUGUGAAUAAGCAUCGGCUAACUCCGUGCCAGCAGCCGCGGUAAUACGGAGGAUGCGAGCGUUAUCCGGAUUUAUUGGGUUUAAAGGGUGCGUAGGUGGGCUGUUAAGUCAGCGGUGAAAGUUUGUCGCUUAACGAUAAAAUUGCCGUUGAAACUGGUAGUCUUGAGUAUAGAUGAGGUAGGCGGAAUGCGUGGUGUAGCGGUGAAAUGCAUAGAGAUCACGCAGAACUCCGAUUGCGAAGGCAGCUUACUAAGGUAUAACUGACACUGAAGCACGAAAGCGUGGGUAUCAAACAGG